UGGGGAAUUUUGGACAAUGGGCGAAAGCCUGAUCCAGCAAUGCCGCGUGUGUGAAGAAGGCCUUCGGGUUGUAAAGCACUUUUGUCCGGAAAGAAAUCCUUGGCUCUAAUACAGUCGGGGGAUGACGGUACCGGAAGAAUAAGCACCGGCUAACUACGUGCCAGCAGCCGCGGUAAUACGUAGGGUGCAAGCGUUAAUCGGAAUUACUGGGCGUAAAGCGUGCGCAGGCGGUUUGCUAAGACCGAUGUGAAAUCCCCGGGCUCAACCUGGGAACUGCAUUGGUGACUGGCAGGCUAGAGUAUGGCAGAGGGGGGUAGAAUUCCACGUGUAGCAGUGAAAUGCGUAGAGAUGUGGAGGAAUACCGAUGGCGAAGGCAGCCCCCUGGGCCAAUACUGACGCUCAUGCACGAAAGCGUGGGGAGCAAACAGGAUUAGAUACCCUGGUAGUCCACGCCCUAAACGAUGUCAACUAGUUGUUGGGGAUUCAUUUCCUUAGUAACGUAGCUAACGCGUGAAGCUGACCGCCUGGGGAGUACGGUCGCAAGAUU
rnacentral:rRNA from 1 species